AGUCUAAUUGGAAGUUUUUGUGUGGACAACGGUAGAUAACGUUGCUUUUCCUCACGGUAUGUUUUUUGUGUAAAUAAUCACGAAUUAACUGCAAAAAAUUUGCAUCAAUAAGUAAACAAUUUACACAACAAUUCGUGUAUCAAUAAAUGCAACUCAAAUAUGCAGUGAAUUAAAAGAAACACAUUGUAAAUUUAUAUCAAAAAAAAAAAAAAUGAAAAGAAAAUGCCAAUACAGAGCCCGCCGUGAGGCAUAGCGCCGAGUGAGCACACCAGUGCAGAAUGUGCGUUGUUUUGUUGUUAGAGUGAACGAAAAUAAGUUCUGUACAAAGGAAUAACUACAUAAAUGACCAUUUAACGGCGUAACAAUUUCGCAGUUGAAACAAAUGUGAUUUUCCAAUUUUGUGCAUAUUCAUACAUUUUAGAAAAGAAAAAGAUAUACAAAGAUAAAUAAACACAUAUUCGCGCUUUGUAUAGUGAAUGACAUGCUCUUAAAGUCCUAAUAGGAGAGCGCAAUUGGUCUUGCUGUUCGUCAGGGUGUGACCGCAAAUUGGCUUUCAUAUGAGGUGUUCACUGAUGUGUAAAAUGCACCUGCAGCGGAAUAUGCCUUUGAAAAUUCCUACCCACCUGUUUUUUUCAAAUGUACAAUGAUAUUUUGCCAUGUAAAGUGCUUCACAACUAACAAAGAGUGGUUGUAAAAAUGUUUCAUUAUGUGCAAUCAAAGUUGAAAGUAGUAAAUGCAGUGACAAUUUGCCAUUACAAUCCAUUCAUUAGUUGGCACAAGCACAACGUACCAUAUGUAAUUGACAAUUUGGUAAUUAGCUGUAGAUGACGGCAAAUUGGUUGGACUUAUACACUCUGAUUGGAAUUUGUGUAUCAAAGAGAAGUGAGUUCGCGAGAGUAAAUAUAUGAUACUCAAAUUGGUGUUGGAGAAUUCUUUAGUAUUCGUUAACAGUGGUGACUACUUUUGGCUUAAUUUCGAUUUUGAAUGUAAAAAAUUGGUAAAAUUAUUGAAAAAAGCCAAUAUAGCAGCAGUAUUUUCAUAAAAGCAUAUUAUUGACAAUUUAUACAUGCAUCACGUCUUCGACUUUAUGCUGAAUCGUUGGUUUUGCUAAGUACUCAAAAUGAAAAUGAUAAACUUAUGCGAUUACUUUAAACUUUUUCUGUACAUCACUAUUGCGCUCUCUUCGAAUCAUUUACUCAGUGUCAUAUUGGCAUUCACUUGGCCAAAACAAUUCAAGCGGCUAUGACCACUAGUUUGUAGGUAGUAUAUACCGAUUGGAUUCAGUGUUUUUGCUAAUAGAAACGGUUGGACAUCAUAAAAGUCUAGAGUGCGGACAGUGGCUUUUUGCCGUUAACUAUUAACUUAAUUCUAAAUCUCGGAAAGAAUAAUGAGAAGCUAGAAAUGCAAAUAUCACGGCAUUAAGAAACAAUAGAGAGAAUAAAGCGCUUAGAAUACUGUUCAUUAGUGUGAUAAAUUGAAUGAACUUCAAAUAACACGGAGAUGCAAGAAAUCAAAUAAAAAAGCUAAAAAGUUGCCGAUUCGUGGUUAAUCAACCAACUGACCAACUAACCAAACCGGAUAGCACCAAAUAAACGCCCAGCCACCACCUUAGAAUACUCAACGUCAAUCAUUGUAUGUUUCAUAUGUAAAGUUCUUCUGGCUGUUACACCGAUCAAGCUGUCAAACUUAGUAAAAGAAUUUGGCAAUAAUGUGGCAACAAGCAAGUUGAAAGCGGCCGAUGUCAGACGUGUCGCUUUUGAAGUUUAAAAUCAAAUUCAAUGCAAAACAAACACGUCUGAUGACAAAUAUUUUCGCUGUCGCAGCGAAAAAGCUAACGAACUUUGCGAAAACGCCGACAACAACGGCACCAACAGGAACAGAAAUUUAUCAUAUAUAAAAGCGAAAAAUACAAUACAUGAAGAGGUAACACCCACGGCACCUGCACAUACAAUCGCACGUAAAAAUCCAUAAGCGAGCGUACAACUACGAAAUCGCCAACACUCGGCACACAGCGUCAUAAAGAUCCACGUCCACCUAUCCCCCAUAUAGACACACACUCACGCUUGCAUCCUAAAGGCAAACAAAUUUUCAGUUUGUUGCUAAUGUAACUACUAGUGAUAAGAACGAACGCACAAAGUAGCAGAGACCGAAAACGAAAGAAGUAAAAUAGUCAAAGCGGCAGGAAAAGUAAGGAGAGAGCACGUAUUAUUAUAAAUAGGCCUAAUAGAACGGUAAAGCGCAGCAAAGCGGAUACAGAGUCACACACCUAGUUGAUUAAUUAAUUUAUUGUACAACUUUUUAGUAAGCGUGAAUACAUUUUAAUACUUUGCCACACGAGGUAAGAGUUCGAGAUAGGUACCUGUACAUUUUCUCUCAACUUGCCAAAAAGCAUAACAAAAAAAUAAAAAUAAAUUAAUAAAAAAAAACCAGACAACCAAAUUCCCUGCGUGUUCUGGUUGCCUGUCAGUGAAUAUUUAAGCAAAUAUAAUGACAUCAUACGCAACCGCCAAUGAUUCUAACAACACAGCAACAGCAACAACAAGCUCAAUGGAUAAUACAAAUGUGGCUAACGCUACGGCAACGUUAGCGUCAAACGCUCUCGCUACAGAUACAAUGGCAGGUGUGGAGAAUGUUGACGGCAUGCGCAACUUUCACGCAACUAUCGACCGUUCGCCUUAUGAAAGCCCAACAACACCGUCAACGUACGAUUGUGAUGUACUGCGGAAAUUAGGCGAAACAACGCUGCAACAACAACAACAGCUGUUGCAAGAUCAACAAUUGUUAGAUACACCAACAAGCAAUUGUUGCACAGACUAUGAAUGUGAUUCGUUUUCGGACGGGCAUGAGAAGACCGAUACCACACCGGAAAAUUUGAAGAAGAUCGAUGAUGUCAUUGAGCAGCAAGCGCAGCUGCAACAGUUAAAAAACCGCUCAUCCUCGCACUAUCUAGUUAAUUCACAAGCAUCGGCAACUAAUGCUGACGCUUUCGAUAGAGAUAUUGUUGGUGCUGGUUAUGGAGUUGGGCUAGCUGUGGCGGUUGAUGACUCAAAUGCAAAGUUUUGUUUUGGCAAACCGCUUUGCAAUGAAAAAGAUAUGUUGAGCAAAAGCGAACGCAUAGAAAGCCACGGCCAUAGCCACAACCACAGCAUCGACUGUUCGACAGCCGGUUUAGGCAAAAGUAAGCGCGUUGUCGAUGGUAACGGCAGUGACAGCGGUUGCGUUACACCGUCCACUAUGUCGGACAUCAAUGCGGCGGCGCUGCUUGCCAGCGGUGCAGACAAUAGCGAGUCGUUGCCGCACGACGAUGAUUCAUCCGCCUCCAAUGCAACUAAUACUACCACAACAGCAACAGCAAAUAAACAGUCGUAUGCUUUUACAAUUGACAACUUCAAUGACAGCGGUUGUGAUCCUGAAGCAGCUAAAGCGCGUUACAAAAGCAUGAUGGAGCGUUUUCAGAGUCGUCACCGACGUGGUGCAUCCAUGUCGAAACUGGAAGCUGGCGAUGCUGCCACCAAUAAGGAAACCACAAUGACUAGCUCAGUGUCAGCAACACCGCUGAGUGGCAGCGCCAACGCACGUCAUGCGCGCAAUAGCGCGGGCGCCGUUGAUAACUCAUACGAUAGUGGUGGCGGCGAUGUGCCGAAAGUGAAGCUGCGUGUGCGUGAUCGCAGCACAUCGCGUGUACGCGACGCCAGCAAGCGACAUAGUUGGUCACCGCGUUCUAGUACACAAGAGUCACAGUUGCACGCGCACGGUCAGCAUGCCGUUGCGCAAACGUCAUCAGCGACGCGUAAUAGUCAAAACAGCGCCAACGAACGCGCGAACACUGCACAGAAGCCCUUACCGCCCACGCGCAAAAAUGUCAGCAAGCAGAAACCACCGCCGCUGCAGCUGCCCAAAGGCGCUGCCAACCUAGUAGCGAAUCGCACACAAUUCACGCCGCGCUCGACCGCUAUGCAAUUGGCCUUGCAGAAAGUGGACUUUCUUUGCGCGCAACCGCCGCUCGCCGAAUUGAAGAACUACAACUUAGAGGCGGAUAAUAUCAGUGAAACUGGCACUUAUACGCUGGACGGCGACAACUAUACGGAGGAGCAAAAGGAUCUAAUGAACAUCGACAAGAGCGCUCAGCAGGCAUUAAAAGCACAACAGCGUCCGAAGCAUUUGCAACUAAGCAGCAGUGGGGUUGAUGUGGAUGCGCAGCUGUGUAACACAAAAAUCCCAGUGCAUGUGAACAAUCGCUCGAAUGUGCUCGAGGUGAAUUACUACCACGACGCAGAAGCAGAACAGGGUCCGCAAUCACCGCACGCAUAUAACGAGCGCGAUCUCAUUUUGGGUUCGCAUGAGUCGGCGGGCGCAUAUUUGGAGAAGAUAAAGUCUCGCGUGCUGCGCAAUGCCUCGGCAACAAAAUCCGCGCCAUCGCAAGCUGGUAACGGUCAGAAAACGCCUACGGAGGAUGAUGGCGAUUUGGGUUGUUUCACCAGCGUGACAACCAGUGGUGUGCUCGCUAAAAAAAGCGCGCUUGAUCCCCGUCCGCGUUUGACGCGUAAAUCUGGUUUGUCCACGUCACAAAUUGACUCUUCGGAGUAUGUGAGCAAUGAAAUGAAACUGAAGGCGAAUACAGCUAGCGCGUACUCGGGAGGUGGUUUCACUGAUCAUCAAAAAGCUGAAUAUCGUUUGAACUUGUUCACCAAUCAAAAGGAUAAUACACAAGCGAAAUUCGCGGCGACACGCAGUUAUAUAGAAUCACCACCGGAUACACCUACACACCAGCAACUAUCCGAUGCAGCGGUGUUGAAGACGGCACAAACAAAAAACGAUUGGAUACAGGAGUGGGCACGCAAUGCGCGGGCACGCAGCCUCGCUUCAGACACGUCAAAAACUCGCAUUCACACAGAUGCGUCGCAGACAGCGUUGAUGACGCGCAGCUACACGUGCGCUUCCGAUACAGCGGCCGGUGCUGAUUCGCUCACCGACGAUAGCAUUUACAAUAGCAAACAGUGCAUCAGCGCUGCCAAGCUGAAUCGCAGUCUUGCCGAGCGUUAUCGCUUGUCGGGCGAAUGUGACUAUUCGAGCGAUCCAACGUUGUCGAGCGGCGCGUACAGCAGCGGUGGACAGCCGGCCGAGGGCAUUUGCAAGCCUCCAAAGAGUCCUUCGAAAAUACCCUCACCGCUGCAUUCAAUUGGUCGUGCGCGCAGUGCAAGUCGUACGCGUGCGCCACUGCAGAAUGUGUUGUUACAGGGUGGUGUUGGCGACGAAGAGGCGGAUAUUUAUUUGCAGAAGACAGCGGCUGCUAUUAGCAAUUUACAGCAGUCGCUUUCUCGUAAGAAUUCACUAAAAUCGCCGCCAACUACACAUUCUUCAGCGUCGCCACGUGCGCACUCGGCACGCUCGCAUGCUCAUUCCUCGGCGUUGUACUCGCCGCCAGACGACUGCGGCAGUCCACAGCACGGCUUGGGCUCGCCCACAUCUGCGGCCAGCGGCAGCGCUUACCAUCACUCACCGUUGCAUCGGCGCGUCGCUACGAAUGAUCCCUAUAGCCGCAAUGCACAGCAUUUGCAGCUGAUGACGAGCAGCUUCAAUGAGCAGCAAUUGAAGUUGCUCACCAGCGGUGAAUACUUGGCGCGGCAAAUGCGUGCGCGCAAGAACUCCUUCGAUGGCAACAUCAGCAAUUCGCCAGCACGUCGCGCGGCAGUAGCAGCGGCAAAUGCACAAGCGCAAGCGCAGGCUGUGCAAAGCGGUCAGGAGUCGCCAUUACGUCGUUCCAGUUCAUUCUCGGCGAAAAUAGCGACAACUCAACGUGCGGCGCGUCCACAAUUCUCCAACAUUUACACACCACCGGCUGCGCGACACAAUUAUUCGCUGGUUGGCGGCGGUGAUGGGCAGUCCGCGGCGACGCGUGCAAACAAAAAUGCUAGCAUUAUCAAAAAAUCGGCGAGCAGCAAUAAUUUCCGGCAUGCCAUCGGUGAUUACGACGAAAAUUUCCAAUAUUAUAUAAAUGAUGAGGAUGACAUGGGCGAAGAGUAUUAUUCAAGUGGUGCUGAGGAAGUCGAGGAAGAGGAGGAAGACGACAAUGACCACUACUACCACCAACACGAUGAUGAUGUGCAAGCGGAAGUGGAUAACACGGCAGCAGUGCCGCUAUCAAAUACGCGUUUGAAUAAAGCGCUACUGAUGCGUAUCGAACGUAGCAAGCAACGCGUAAGCGGCGGUUCCGGUACGGGCAAGCCAUCUUCUGCGCCUGUGACGAGAUUACAACAACAGCAAGCUGUCGGCUCUUGUGGCGUUAUGGCAUGCCCGAACACGCCCGAAUUACCGCGGCGCGGCAUACGCAGUGCGCCACGUUCCAGCGGCGCCACAACGACGCGACAGUCAGUGCCGCGUGACACCAGUCUCAGUCGUUUGGCAUCACAGGUACCCAACUCGUUGGCCUCGGCAAAGAAGCAAUUACUACAAACUGCCGCCGCUGUGCCAUCUACAACAAAGCUGACAAAUCAACGGGUGCAACCGAAGUAUUUGGACAUAUCGAAGUACAAGCCGGCGCAGGGCAAUAAUUUUCUACGCAAGAACGAUUCCAAAAGCACACUGAAAACGUCAGCAUUGAGUGGCGACAUGAUGAAACGCAGUCCGAGUAGCUCAUCGAUGGGGCUGAGUCGUGCGGAUCCGACACGCACCAGCAAUCGCAGUGUACGCUCGGUGGCAUCGUGCAUGACCACAAGCGGCACUACGCUUGGCGGUGGUGGUGGCGGUGGAAUGAGCGGUCGGGCCUCAUCAGCGGUGCGUAGAGACCAGUCGGUGACCAAACAAAAGGAGGCAGAAAUGGCCAUGUGGAAGCGACGCUCCACGUACGACCCCAUGAAGGCGGCAGCCGAAGAUCGUCGCAAGAAAGAGGAAGCCAAACGUUUGGCGCUCGCCAAGAAUAUGGGCGAAAUGCCGUGCGAGAGGCCAUCUAGAUCUCCCUAUCGUCGUGGACAGUUAUGACCGGAAGGCUUGCUUAUAACCGAUCUCUAAGCGUAACUACUGCAAAUAUAAAAAAGAAAGAAAACAAAUUAUUAUUCCUAUUUGUCAUUGUUACCACCAAAAAUUCCAUCCAAAUCAGUCAGCAUUAGCAUCAAGUGAAAAAUGAAAAAUACAUGUAAAUCAUUAGUCACCGGCUCCUUGCAAAUUGAUGGCGUCGCGCAUGAAACAAAGAUUUAGCGUUUAACGCUAAUUAUACCUAUUGAUUUAGCAAUUAGCGGCGGUAAUUAAACCACUUAGCAAUUGAAGUGUGGGGUGCUAAAUGCAAGGAGUUUAGUGUGUCUGAAGUGCAUGCAACGAAUAAUAAAGAAUAUAUACGAAAAUAUCCAAACCAUAAGGAAUGCGGGAGUGAAGUAUUGGCGGAAAACUACGCCUUACAAAUGUAACAUUUAAAUGCAAAAUAUACUAAAUUAACGCAACGAAAAACAAAGCUAACAACAAACAAAUAAUAACCGAAUAAGCGAGCGAGCAAGCGAACGAGCGAAGAAGCGAAUUCGAAAACUAAGAACGUCAAUACAGAGAGCGAUUUACAUAUGCAUAUACAUAUAUUUCGAGAGAAGGAGAGGGUGUGAAAGCAGUUGCAGCAUACUUUUAGGCGUUACACAUACUUGCCAAACAAUUUGUUGUGAACGUCAACGUGCGAUGCAGCACGUACGCCACCGCCAUUCAAGCAACAACUAUCGCUGGACGAACAAUGGACCGAGUAUGGUGAAGAAGAAUGCGUUUAAAGCGCGGGGAGAGUUAGAGAACAUGAGGAAGUGACAACCAGCGUCCAGUGAUGAGCAGCUAAUUUUAUGAGCGACGAACAAAUGCGUUUAAAAAGCUUUUGAAAAGUGAUACAUAGGAUCUACUAUAAAAAAAAAUACAAAUAUAAUUAUAUUAAAAUUAUUAUUAAAUAUUGUUAAACAAAACGAGAACAACUAUAGCAGAUAGUACAUACUAUAUAAUUACGCGAAUUGAGUUAGGUAACUAGAUGUUGCAAGUUUGUCUGGCAUAAGUACACUUGUGCGUCGUCGUGUUGGCAUACUGCUAUAAUAAGGCGAUAAUGAUUUGAUAGUUGAAAACUGUAUUGACGGCAUAAAAGAUAUGAUUUAAUUAUAUAUAUUUAAUAAUAACUUGUAUACAUAUAUAUAAAAUAUUAUAUGCAACUAUUUUGUGAAUGGCAUACACCUAUUAUGCGUGUGUAUGUGUGAUAGCAACAUAAACACACAAGCAAAUUUGAAACUAACUAAUUAAAAAUGAAUUAUAUAUUUAUAUAUAAAUAUAUAUAUAUUUCUUUCGCUGUAAA